rnacentral:rRNA from 1 species
GACGAACGCUGGCGGCGUGCCUAAUACAUGCAAGUAGAACGCACAGUUUAUACCGUAGCUUGCUACACCAUAGACUGUGAGUUGCGAACGGGUGAGUAACGCGUAGGUAACCUGCCUGGUAGCGGGGGAUAACUAUUGGAAACGAUAGCUAAUACCGCAUAAUAUUAAUUAUUGCAUGAUAAUUAAUUGAAAGGUGCAAUUGCACCACUACCAGAUGGACCUGCGUUGUAUUAGCUAGUAGGUGAGGUAACGGCUCACCUAGGCGACGAUACAUAGCCGACCUGAGAGGGUGGUCGGCCCCACUGGGACUGAGACCCGGCCCAGACUCCUACGGGAGGCAGCCGUAGGGAAUCUUCGGCAAUGGACGAAAGUCUGACCGAGCCACGCCGCGUGAGUGAAGAAGGUUUUCGGAUCGUAAAGCUCUGUUGUAAGAGAAGAACGGGUGUGAGAGUGGAAAGUUCACACUGUGACGGUAUCUUACCAGAAAGGGACGGCUAACUACGUG